rnacentral:misc_RNA from 1 species
UCCGGUUCAUCACCAGCAGUCUCCUUAGAGUCCCCACCAUUACGUGUUGGCAACUAAGGAUAAGGGUUGCGCUCGUUACGGGACUUAACCCAACAUCUCACAACACGAGCUGACGACAGCCAUGCAGCACCUGUCUCCACGUUCCUUUCGGCACCCCCAUAUCUCUACAGGGUUCGUGGGAUGUCAAGGGUAGGUAAGGUUCUUCGCGUUGCAUCGAAUUAAACCACAUGCUCCACCGCUUGUGCGGGCCCCCGUCAAUUCCUUUGAGUUUUAAUCUUGCGACCGUACUCCCCAGGCGGAAAACUUAUCGCGUUAGCUUCGAUACUAAUAGGUCAAGCCUACCAUCAUCUAGUUUUCAUCGUUUACAGCGUGGACUAC